rnacentral:rRNA from 1 species
UCUGGUUGAUUCUGCCAGUAGUCAUAUGCUUGUCUCAAAGAUUAAGCCAUGCAUGUCUAAGUAUAAGCACUUUAUACUGUGAAACUGCGAAUGGCUCAUUAAAUCAGUUAUCGUUUAUUUGAUAGUACCUUACUACAUGGAUACCUGUGGUAAUUCUAGAGCUAAUACAUGCUAAAAACCUCGACUUCGGAAGGGGUGUAUUUAUUAGAUAAAAAACCAAUGCCCUUCGGGGCUCCUUGGUGAUUCAUAAUAACUUAACGAAUCGCAUGGCCUUGCGCCGGCGAUGGUUCAUUCAAAUUUCUGCCCUAUCAACUUUCGAUGGUAGGAUAGUGGCCUACCAUGGUGGCAACGGGUAACGGGGAAUUAGGGUUCGAUUCCGGAGAGGGAGCCUGAGAAACGGCUACCACAUCCAAGGAAGGCAGCAGGCGCGCAAAUUACCCAAUCCCGACACGGGGAGGUAGUGACAAUAAAUACUGAUACGGGGCUCUUUUGGGUCUCGUAAUUGGAAUGAGUACAAUCUAAAUCCCUUAACGAGGAACAAUUGGAGGGCAAGUCUGGUGCCAGCAGCCGCGGUAAUUCCAGCUCCAAUAGCGUAUAUUAAAGUUGUUGCAGUUAAAAAGCUCGUAGUUGAACCUUGGGUCUGGCUGGCCGGUCCGCCUCACCGCGAGUACUGGUCCGGCUGGACCUUUCCUUCUGGGGAACCUCAUGGCCUUCACUGGCUGUGGGGGGAACCAGGACUUUUACUGUGAAAAAAUUAGAGUGUUCAAAGCAGGCCUUUGCUCGAAUACAUUAGCAUGGAAUAAUAGAAUAGGACGUGCGGUUCUAUUUUGUUGGUUUCUAGGACCGCCGUAAUGAUUAAUAGGGAUAGUCGGGGGCGUCAGUAUUCAGCUGUCAGAGGUGAAAUUCUUGGAUUUGCUGAAGACUAACUACUGCGAAAGCAUUCGCCAAGGAUGUUUUCAUUAAUCAGGGAACGAAAGUUAGGGGAUCGAAGACGAUCAGAUACCGUCGUAGUCUUAACCAUAAACUAUGCCGACUAGGGAUCGGGCGGUGUUUCUAUGAUGACCCGCUCGGCACCUUACGAGAAAUCAAAGUUUUUGGGUUCUGGGGGGAGUAUGGUCGCAAGGCUGAAACUUA